rnacentral:rRNA from 1 species
GAUGAACGCUGGCGGCGUGCCUAAUACACGCAAGUCGAGCGAACAGAUGAGAAGCUUGCUUCUCUGAUGUUAGCGGCGGACGGGUGAGUAACACGUGGGUAACCUACCUAUAAGACUGGGAUAACUCCGGGAAACCGGGGCUAAUACCGGAUAAUAUUUUGAACCGCAUGGUUCAAUAGUGAAAGACGGUUUCGGCUGUCACUUAUAGAUGGACCCGCGCCGUAUUAGCUAGUUGGUAAGGUAACAGCUUACCAAGGCGACGAUACGUAGCCGACCUGAGAGGGUGAGCGGCCACACUGGAACUGAGACACGGUCCAGACUCCUACGGGAGGCAGCAGUAGGGAAUCUUCCGCAAUGGGCGAAAGCCUAACGGAGCAACGCCGCGUGAGUGAUGAAGGUCUUCGGAUCGUAAAACUCUGUUGUUAGGGAAGAACAAAUUUGUUAGUAACUGAACAAGUCUUGACGGUACCUAACCAGAAAGCCACGGCUAACUACGUGCCAGCCGCCGCCGUAA